GACGAACGCUGGCGGCGCGCUUAAUACAUGCAAGUCGAGCGAGAACCGGAGCUUCGGCUCCGGGGACAGCGGCGAACGGGUGAGUAACACGUGGGUAACCUGCCCUCGGCACCGGGAUAGCCCGGGGAAACCCGGAUUAAUACCGGAUGGCCCUUUCGGUCUUCGGACCGGUCGGCAAAGGUAGCUUCGGCCUCCGGCCGAGGAUGGGCCCGCGGCGGAUUAGCUUGUUGGUGAGGUAACGGCUCACCAAGGCUCCGAUCCGUAGCUGGUCUGAGAGGACGAUCAGCCACACUGGGACUGAGACACGGCCCAGACUCCUACGGGAGGCAGCAGUAGGGAAUCUUGCGCAAUGGGCGAAAGCCUGACGCAGCGACGCCGCGUGCGGGAAGGCGGCCUUCGGGUUGUAAACCGCUUUCAGGAGGGACGAAGCCACUCGGGUGAAUAGCCCAGAGGGUGACGGCACCUCCAGAAGAAGCCCCGGCUAACUACGUGCCAGCCGCCGCCGUAA
rnacentral:rRNA from 1 species